rnacentral:rRNA from 1 species
UACGUAGGGGGCAAGCGUUGUCCGGAUUUAUUGGGCGUAAAGAGCUCGUAGGCGGCUUGUUGCGUCAGCUGUGAAAACCCGCAGCUCAACUGUGGGCUUGCAGCUGAUACGGGCAGGCUUGAGUUCGGUAGGGGAGUGUGGAAUUCCCGGUGUAGCGGUGAAAUGCGCAGAUAUCGGGAGGAACACCAGUAGCGAAGGCGGCACUCUGGGUCGGAACUGACGCUGAGGAGCGAAAGCAUGGGGAGCGAACAGG